rnacentral:rRNA from 1 species
UACGUAGGGUGCAAGCGUUAAUCGGAAUUACUGGGCGUAAAGCGUGCGCAGGCGGUUAUGUAAGACAGGGGUGAAAUCCCCGGGCUUAACCUGGGAACUGCAUUUGUGACUGCAUAGCUAGAGUACGGUAGAGGGGGAUGGAAUUCCGCGUGUAGCAGUGAAAUGCGUAGAUAUGCGGAGGAACACCGAUGGCGAAGGCAAUCCCCUGGACCUGUACUGACGCUCAUGCACGAAAGCGCGGGGAGCAAACAGG